AGAAAUGCUGCUACUGCUAAUAUUUGACAGUCAUUGUAGUAACAAUCCAACCUGGUGUUCUGUCCCUGUGAAUGUCUGAGUUCUCCACUGUUACUGGUUCGAGUGUGUU